AUUGAACGCUGGCGGCAGGCCUAACACAUGCAAGUCGAGCGGCAGCGACUUAACUGAACCUUCGGGGAACGUUAAGGGCGGCGAGCGGCGGACGGGUGAGUAAUGCCUGGGAAUAUGCCCUGAUGUGGGGGAUAACUAUUGGAAACGAUAGCUAAUACCGCAUAAUCUCUUCGGAGCAAAGAGGGGGACCUUCGGGCCUCUCGCGUCAGGAUUAGCCCAGGUGGGAUUAGCUUGUUGGUGAGGUAAUGGCUCACCAAGGCUACGAUCCCUAGCUGGUCUGAGAGGAUGAUCAGCCACACUGGAACUGAGACACGGUCCAGACUCCUACGGGAGGCAGCAGUGGGGAAUAUUGCACAAUGGGGGAAACCCUGAUGCAGCCAUGCCGCGUGUGUGAAGAAGGCCUUCGGGUUGUAAAGCACUUUCAGUAGGGAGGAAGGUAGUGUAGUUAACACCUGCAUUAUUUGACGUUACCUACAGAAGAAGCACCGGCUAACUCCGUGCCAGCAGCCGCGGUAAUACGGAGGGUGCGAGCGUUAAUCGGAAUUACUGGGCGUAAAGCGCAUGCAGGCGGCCUGUUAAGUCAGAUGUGAAAGCCCGGGGCUUAACCUCGGAAUUGCAUUUGAAACUGGCAGGCUAGAGUCUUGUAGAGGGGGGUAGAAUUUCAGGUGUAGCGGUGAAAUGCGUAGAGAUCUGAAGGAAUACCAGUGGCGAAGCGGCCCCCUGACAAAGACUGACGCUCAGAUGCGAAAGCGUGGGGAGCAAACAGG
rnacentral:rRNA from 1 species